UUGUUUUUGUGGGAGAUUGCAAGACUAUGAUGGAAGCUUUCAGAGGUGAUAAUGUGGAUCUAGGAUCAGAGUUAGAAAGAUAUUGCAUGAAUGUUUCUCUUAUUGUUGUAAAAAUUGCCUUCUUUUAUUUUUCUUCGUAAAGAAAAUACAGACAUAGCUGAUGCCCUGGCUCAAGAAUUAGUGUCGAGUAUAUUUCAUAUUUCUCUAUAGUUACUCUAUCUGCAAGACUGCAAAUGACAAAGCUAACUUCGAAUCUUGGUUCACAUCCUUGGAAGCUUUUGGAGCCAUUUUGGGACCACAAACACACUCCUCGGUUCAAUUUUCUCGUUCCGAGAUUAAAAUCCACCAUUUAUCUCCCAGUUUCUCAAUCUCUCUGCUUCAGUCUCGUUUCCCCACCACUCUCUCUAUAGCUCUAUCUGUAAAUCCUAUAUGAACAGCAACAGGUUAAAAGGAAGUGGGUUUCUGAAGAAAACAGAUUCGUCCUCAUAAUCUUCUUUUUCAUCAACACAGAAGUAUUUCUCGUUGCUGUUGUAUCAAUUAGCUCUGGGAAGAGAUGAAAAUGUUGGAGCUGGACCUCUGGCAUAUCCUGUUUUGAUGGCCUCUUAUAUCAGUCGGAUUUUGUACCUGCUGGUGCAGUUCAGAAACAACACAUGGAGCUCACCUGUUAGCUGGCUGAGCGAGUAAAUUAUCUAUAUGGAGGAACGAAAUGGAAGAAAAUGGAUGACAUGUUGGUUCGUUAUUUAAGGUGGAUUUCGUAUACCUGAUUCUUGGUUGAUAGUCUUCACUAGAGCGCUGGAAGUAAAAUAAUAAUACUGGAGUGACCCUUACUUUGAUAAUCUUGUUAUAGGUUCCUGAACCCCUUAUAAUGUCUCAUACAGAUGGUCCUUCAAAGAUGUCCAAGUCAGAUCCUUCUGAUCAGUCUCGAAUCAAUCUUCUUGACUCCAAAGAUGUGACAUGAAGUAGCAAGAGAAUGUCAUGAUAUGGACUGGGGAGAAUUCAAACCCUUUCUUACGGAUGCUUUAGUAAAUCAUUUGCAUCCCACUCAGGUGCUAUCAAAUGAUUGUAUCCAGAUAGAUUUACAUUUCCACUACUUAAGUUAGGUAUAUCCAGAUACACAUCUUUUCAGGUUCACGUAUUUCUUAUCAAGCUUUCACUGUGAGUAAGUUCUUAUGGGUGUAAUGGGAUGGGGACGUUAUCGACUUCCACCCAGUUUACAUAUGUAUUCAGGCUAUAUAAUAUAGGGAAGGCAUCAGCUGCAUGUAUUUUCUCGCCAACCUUUGCUUAUCAAUAUGUUGUUAUGGACGGAUUGAGCCAUUCUGAGCAUGCACCACAACCUAGUCCAGAACAACACACAAUUAGGAGGGAGAUUUAUCUAACAUACUUUCUUUAGCUUUCUCUUUUCUCCUUCUAUUAUUAUAGAACGUGGUUCCAUCAUGUCGAUCCUUAAUUUAUUCAGGUCCGUAACGAGGAAAUCAAGUCUGAUUCAGCUUACUUGGAUAGGUUUUGGUUGAUGGAGCUACGAAAGCUGUUGAUAUAGCAGAUGCUACUCUCAAUGAUGUUUAUCAAGCUAUGCUGCUAUGGGAUUCUUGCGAAGAUGAGAAGAAUCAAUACUGCUGCAAGAAUCAAUACGAAAGCAACCUUGAGUUUACUUGUGGAAGAUCCCAUUGAUGCUGACAAUUUUUUGUUUCACAGUUGCUAAAGGCGGUUGCUGGUUUUGCUAGUGCUGGUACCAACAUAUUCAUCAGGGACCCACAUUGUAAUUAGUAUUUAAGAUAUCUCCUUGGAGAGCUUCUCACAAAUUGCAAUAUCCCACAUACAUUUGCAUUUAUACAUCUGGUUGCUGUAAUCUAUCUUUCUAUCUAGAUGUAUUAGAAGAAAAUGCUGUUUCCUGAAUGAUCAUUAGUCAAAAUUAAUAUAC